GGAGGAUGGGGGCAUUGAUUUCCUCCCAAUAUCAGAAGUUUCACAGGCUUCUUGUGUAUCCACAAACACCCACCCCAUUGAGAAGGCCUAGAAAAUCUGCCCCUCCCCAAGCCUUUAUUGACCGCUUGUGAAUGAUCUCAGGGUGUGUCUGACCCACAGCUCCUUCUGGAGACAGAGAAAAGUCUCUCCUAGGUAUUUGGUUGUCAACCUCAACUGCUUGCUGAGCCUUCCCCAAGACCAGGCACCUUGGCAGAGAUUUCUGGGUUGUCAGGCAGAACCGAGCAUUCGAGGGUGAUAACUCACUGGAGUCCCUGAAAUCCCUGAUGGACGCACCAGGUAAAAGCAUCCAGGGUUGAAACCAGAUCAGGAAGGUUAUUGUCAGCCUGAGGCUCCUGUAGAGGUGCAUCCACGUUGCAGGUAUUUUCCUUCUUGCUGAGGAGAAACCUGGAUUUCUCAGCUUUGGCACAGUCACAACAUUUGGGGUGAGACCAUUCGUGGUGGUGGUGGGGGGGCAUCCUGUGUAUUGUAGGACGGUUAGCAGCAUCUGUGGUCUCCAUCCUCUAGGUGCCAUUCUACCCUCCCAGCUAUGGCUACCCCAGAUGUCUCCAGAUGGUUUCAAUGCUGUGGGGCAAGGGAGUGGUACGUGAGCAAAACCACCCCAGUUGAGAGCCAUUGGUCUACACUUGUGGAAAUGUUUGAGGGUGAGAGUGUCGAGCUUGGGUCCCUGCUGUACCCUUUAUGAGCAAUGCGGUCUUGGAAAAUUAAUACUACUCCAGGGGCCUCAGUUUUCUCAUCUAUAAAAUGGAGAUAAAUGAGAUACACUUUCAUAGGAAAGUUAUAUGGGAUUUACUGAGAUAAUAAGACAGUACAUGGAAAAUACUGGGCAUAGCCUUUAUUUAUUUAAUUUUUUUUUAAGACAGAGUCUUACUCUGUUACCCAGGCUGGAGUACAGUGGCAUGAUCUCUGCUCACUGCAACCUCCACGUCCUGGGCUCAAGUGAUUCUCCUGCCUCAGCCUCCAGAGUAGCUGGGAUUACAGGUGCCCACCACCACACCUGGCUAAUUUUUGUAUUUUUAGUAGAGAUGGGGUUUCACCAUGUUGGGCAGGCUGAUCUCAAACUUCUGACCUCAGGUG
rnacentral:lncRNA from 1 species